CGGGGUGUAGCGCAGUCCGGUUAGCGCGCCUGCUUUGGGAGCAGGAAGUCGUGGGUUCGAAUCCCGCCUCCCCGA
rnacentral:tRNA from 1 species